GACGAACGCUGGCGGCGUGCUUAACACAUGCAAGUCGAACGGAAAGGCCCUGCUUUUGUGGGGUGCUCGAGUGGCGAACGGGUGAGUAACACGUGAGUAACCUGCCCUUGACUUUGGGAUAACUUCAGGAAACUGGGGCUAAUACCGGAUAGGAGCUCCUGCUGCAUGGUGGGGGUUGGAAAGUUUCGGCGGUUGGGGAUGGACUCGCGGCUUAUCAGCUUGUUGGUGGGGUAGUGGCUUACCAAGGCUUUGACGGGUAGCCGGCCUGAGAGGGUGACCGGCCACAUUGGGACUGAGAUACGGACCAGACUCCUACGGGAGGCAGCGGUGGGGAGUAUUGCAGAAUGGGCGGAAGCCUGAUGCAGCAACGCCGCGUGCGGGAUGACGGCCUUCGGGUGGUAAACCGAUUUCGCCGGUGACGAAGAGUGAGUGACGGUAAUGGGUAAAGAAGCAACGGCUAACUACGUG
rnacentral:rRNA from 1 species